CCUACGGGUGGCUGCAGUGGGGAAUAUUGGACAAUGGGCGAAAGCCUGAUCCAGCCAUGCCGCGUGUGUGAAGAAGGCCUUCGGGUUGUAAAGCACUUUCAGUGGGGAAGAAAGCCUUGGGGCUAAUACCCUCGAGGAAGGACAUCACCCACAGAAGAAGCACCGGCUAACUCCGUGCCAGCAGCCGCGGUAAUACGGAGGGUGCGAGCGUUAAUCGGAAUUACUGGGCGUAAAGCGCGCGUAGGCGGUCUGAUAAGCCGGUUGUGAAAGCCCCGGGCUCAACCUGGGAACGGCAUCCGGAACUGUCAGGCUAGAGUGCAGGAGAGGAAGGUAGAAUUCCGGUGUAGCGGUGAAAUGCGUAGAGAUCGGGAGGAAUACCAGUGGCGAAGGCGGCCUUCUGGACUGACACUGACGCUGAGGUGCGAAAGCGUGGGUAGCAAACAGGAUUAGAUACCCGAGUAGUC
rnacentral:rRNA from 1 species